rnacentral:rRNA from 1 species
CAGUAGCCGCGGUAAUACGAAGGGUGCAAGCGUUACUCGGAAUUACUGGGCGUAAAGCGUGCGUAGGUGGUGGUUUAAGUCCGUUGUGAAAGCCCUGGGCUCAACCUGGGAAUUGCAGUGGAUACUGGGUCACUAGAGUGUGGUAGAGGAUAGUGGAAUUUCCGGUGUAGCAGUGAAAUGCGUAGAGAUCUGGAGGAAUACCGGUGGCGAAGGCGGCCCCCUGGACAAAGACUGACGCUCAGGUGCGAAAGCGUGGGGAGCAAACAGGAUUAGAGACCCCUGUAGUCCCUGUCUCUUAUAC